AGGACGAACGCUGGCGGCGUGCUUAACACAUGCAAGUCGAACGGUGAAGCCUUUCGGGGUGGAUCAGUGGCGAACGGGUGAGUAACACGUGAGUAAUCUGCCCUUGACUCUGGGAUAACUUCGGGAAACCGUGGCUAAUACCGGAUAUGACGCAUGGUCGCAUGGUCUGUGUGUGGAAAGAUUUAUUGGUCAGGGAUGAGCUCGCGGCCUAUCAGCUUGUUGGUGGGGUAAUGGCCUACCAGGGCGACGACGGGUA
rnacentral:rRNA from 1 species